UCGUAGUACACAAUUUUCUGUUGCUGCUAUCGUUGCAAUGCCGAACAAAAGCGAUAUCACUCAAUUGAAACAAAAGGUUAAGGAAGUUCAGAGACAAGCUCGCAAAGAAAAGGAAGCGCAGAAAAGGGAACGCGCACGGCAAAUUAAACAAGUGAAGCUGCAGGCCCAAAAAGCUCGUAAGGCAAAAGCUAAACAAGUAAAGCAACUAAAGGAGAAGGCUCGGAAGGAGAAAAUUAAACAACGGAAGGAGGACCGUACCAGGCGAGCUAUGGAGAAUAAGCUACUGAAAGAAUUAACCAAAUUGCGCAAGGUCCAUAUGGGGUAGAAUGGAAAUUCUACACAAUAUAUCUAACUUCCUUCUACUUUGAAUAAAUCAAUUUAUGGUUUGAGACUAACAAUUUGUAUUUAUUAUUUUAUUUAUAUGUCACAACAAUCUCACAUAUUUUUUUGUAAGUAUCCCAGCAUUUCCAUUAUAAUUUUACGGAGGAUUAACUCGGAUUACUCAGCAUCUAAGUGGUGUUUCGUUCUUAUUUUCCUAUUUUUUCUUGUAUUUUUUAAACUGACGAUGGAUUUUCAACAAUAAAAGACGAGUGUGUGCGUGUGGGUGUGCGGCUUGCGCGAUACGCGUAUUGUGCGUCCUGCGCGCACGCGAUUUUGGGCAUCCUGCGCGCACUCGUUGUUGACAGUUGGUGUUCAAGUUAAGUCGGGAUAUCAUCUAUGGUUUUGUGAAAUUUGCCGAAGUGUGGUAAAGAGUGCUUGAUGUUAUUCUACAAAUUCAAAUAAGGAACUAAAUCAUUACGAUCCUUAUGAUUUGUUUAAUUUCUGGACAAUGUUUACAGUUUGUAGUUAUAUUGGAUUGACUUAAGGCGGCGUGCUGCCUGGAUGACUUCAAGCAAGGUCACUCUCAGAUCCUCCUGUGGUUGACACUGCUGAGCAUGUUUAUAUUUCAUCUCGUUAUUGUCCUGGCUAAAUAACAUCCGCGUAUGGACAGGUAUACGGAGUGCCGAACAACUUUUUAGACUGUCAGAAGACCGCCCGGAAUCCCUAUCGUCAGGGGGACCGGACAAGGCGUUUGAAAGAAGAAAAUGACGAAAAUUUGGUGGUGUUCCUGUAGAAGUUAUACGUCUAAUGUAGGAUAAAUUGGUUAAUGGUAUUGAGCUAAUAAUUGCCAUUCCUGAAACAGGGAUUUGAUGUGAAGUGGGAAGUGAGUAAUCCAAGUUGCCACUGCUGGAUAUUUUUGACCAGUCUAGACAGUCAUAGAUAUGUGCUCCUACGACCAUAAUGGUGGACGCACGGAAGAGCUACCAGAACAUCAGCGUGCAGAAUGGCGGGACCUAAGGGAGCACCUCCAGGGGUUGGCCUCGUUUUUGGUAAUAAAGAGAUAGAAACAAGGUUUUCUAAUACGGAAGAACCGACUGCACUGGACCCCAACAAGCGCACAAAAGACAUCUCGAGAAAAACAUCGACUUACCCAUGUUUCAUGACUAAUAGCAUUGCGCAGCGAUUCCAGCACUGAAUACUCGUACUAUUGUCAAAAUAUUUCAUUCCAUUUCUGAAAUAUUGUAU